rnacentral:rRNA from 1 species
UGGGGAAUCUUGCACAAUGGAGGAAACUCUGAUGCAGCGACGCCGCGUGAACGAUGAAGCCCUUCGGGGUGUAAAGUUCUUUCGUCAGGAACGAUAAUGACGGUACCUGGAGAAGAAGCUGCGGCUAACUACGUGCCAGCAGCCGCGGUAAUACGUAGGCAGCAAGCGUUGUUCGGAAUUAUUGGGCGUAAAGAGUAUGUAGGUGGUGUCGUAAGUUUGGUGUGAAAUCUCCCGGCUUAACCGGGAGGGUGCGCCGAAGACUGCGAUGCUGGAGUAUGGGAGAGGGAAUCGGAAUUCCUGGUGUAGCGGUGAAAUGCGUAGAUAUCAGGAGGAACACCUGUGGUGUAGACGGGUUCCUGGACCAUUACUGACACUGAGAUACGAAAGCGUGGGUAGCAAACAGG